rnacentral:rRNA from 1 species
UACGGGGGGAGCAAGCGUUACUCGGAAUUACUGGGCGUAAAGGGCGCGUAGGCGAUUGAAUAAGUCUUAUGUGAAAGCCCAUGGCUUAACCAUGGAAGUGCAUGAGAAACUGUAUGAUUUGAGUUCCGGAGAGGAAGGCAGAAUUCCCGGUGUAGCGGUGAAAUGCGUAGAUAUCGGGAGGAAUACCAGUGGCGAAGGCGGCCUUCUGGACGGAUACUGACGCUGAGGCGCGAAAGCCAGGGGAGCAAACGGG